UACGUAGGGUGCAAGCGUUAAUCGGAAUUACUGGGCGUAAAGCGUGCGCAGGCGGUUAUGUAAGACAGAUGUGAAAUGCCCGGGCUUAACCUGGGAACUGCAUUUGUGACUGCAUGGCUAGAGUUUGGCAGAGGGGGGUAGAAUUCACGUGUAGCAGUGAAAUGCGUAGAUAUGUGGAGGAACACCGAUGGCGAAGGCAGCCCCCUGGGUCGAAGACUGAC
rnacentral:rRNA from 1 species